rnacentral:rRNA from 1 species
GCAUGCCUACAACAUAGCGUUAAUGCACCAGAUCCCAUUAGAACUCCACAGUUAAGCGCACUCAGGAUAGAGUAGUACUGGGAUGGGUGACCGCCUGAUAAUUCCUAUUGUUUUACAUGCC